rnacentral:rRNA from 1 species
AGCGAACGCUGGCGGCAGGCCUAACACAUGCAAGUCGAGCGCCCCGCAAGGGGAGCGGCAGACGGGAGAGUAACACGUGGGAACGUACCCUUUGGUUCGGAACAACCCAGGGAAACUUGGGCUAAUACCGGAUAAGCCCUUACGGGGAAAGAUUCAUCGCCGAAGGAUCGGCCCGCGUCUGAUUAGCUAGUUGGUGGGGUAACGGCCCACCAAGGCGACGAUCAGUAGCUGGUCUGAGAGGAUGAUCAGCCUCACUGGGACUGAGACACGGCCGAGACUCCUACGGGAGGCAGCAGGGGGGAAUAUUGGACAAUGGGCGCAAGGCUGAUCCAGCCAUGCCGCGUGGGUGAUGAAGGCCCUAGGGUUGUAAAGCCCUUUCGACGGGGAAGAUAAUGACGGUACCCGCAGAAGAAGCCCCGGCUAACUUCGUGCCAGCCGCCGCGGUAACAC